rnacentral:rRNA from 1 species
CCUACGGGAGGCAGCAGUGGGGAAUAUUGCACAAUGGGCGAAAGCCUGAUGCAGCGACGCCGCGUGAGGGAUGACGGCCUUCGGGUUGUAAACCUCUUUCAGCAGGGAAGAAGCGAGAGUGACGGUACCUGCAGAAGAAGCGCCGGCUAACUACGUGCCAGCAGCCGCGGUAAUACGUAGGGCGCAAGCGUUGUCCGGAAUUAUUGGGCGUAAAGAGCUCGUAGGCGGCUUGUUGCGUCGGUUGUGAAAGCCCGGGGCUUAACCCCGGGUCUGCAGUCGAUACGGGCAGGCUAGAGUGUGGUAGGGGAGAUCGGAAUUCCUGGUGUAGCGGUGAAAUGCGCAGAUAUCAGGAGGAACACCGGUGGCGAAGGCGGAUCUCUGGGCCAUUACUGACGCUGAGGAGCGAAAGCGUGGGGAGCGAACAGGAUUAGAUACCCUGGUAGUCCACGCCGUAAACGUUGGGAACUAGGUGUUGGCGACAUUCCACGUCGUCGGUGCCGCAGCUAACGCAUUAAGUUCCCCGCCUGGGGAGUACGGCCGCAAGGCUAAAACUCAAAGGAAUUGACGGCUGAGACGNGCCGACGACGACGACGAGGAGAGG